GACGGGGGUGCCGGGGGCGGCGACGGGGGUGCCACCGGGCCAGUGCAAAAACGUGGCUCCCGUUCAAAGGGGCCUAAAAAGACUCCAUUACAAAAGCCCAAAGAAACGCUCCCACCUAUGUCGGCCAAAUCUAAAAAGAAAAGAUCGAAGCUUAGGAAAAACUCUAGUCAAAGCGGUGAGGGUGUCCUUCCUGAAGAUGGAAGAGGUUUUUAUUAUUUCUGUUCUGACGUUCCAGUGACUGUCAAAUGUAGGCUUGGUCCAAAUGAACGUGAGACCCUAGAACUCCCUCCAUCUGAGGCUGUAAUUCAACGCUUCAAAGAUGCCUUGGAAGAGGCUAAAAUUAAGGCUUCUAUCGUGACAGGACCGGGCAGGGUUCCCAACAUGGCUAAACAUAUACCUACCCUUCCACAAUUACUUCAGGAUCCAGCUCCAUCCAGAACUGUAACAUCUCCCCAUUCAUCUCGGUCAACAGAUGAAUCCGCGUUCACUAAAUCACCACGGCGGGGAGCGCGCGGCUCUAAAGAAAAAUUAGGUUCUCAAGAGGGUACCCGUAAGCGAAAUUGUACUAUCGUAGAUUGCCAUCGUAAUCUUAUUGACCGGACCAGAGAAUUGCGUAGUAGAAACGCGAGUAAGUCUACUUCUCCAAGGUAUCGUUCUACCCAAGAGGCUUCUGGUCUCUCCCCACCUGAGCACGUCAACAAAUCUGCUCCUCCAAUGAUUACACUGCCCAUUUCUGCCCUGAAGGAUCUGGGAAUCUCUCUACCUUCGCGCACCAAGGAUUCUCUUUCAGUGCCAUUGCCAACUGUUCCCCAAGAGGACUCGGAUUCUUCUAGUAUAGAUGGUGAUAACUGACGAGGCCACAGCCAGACAUGAACUUUAUCCUAGAUGGAAUAAACGUCCAUCUUACUGCGGCUUGAGCGGGUUCUUAAGACGGCUGAAAUGAGAGGUAUCCUCGUUUGCCCGAACAAUAAAAACUGCUACAAAAGCUUUAAUAGUGAUGUGCUGGAUAAUUUCGCUGGGCAUAAUAGACGCGCUGGUAUAAUAGACGGCCAAGUACCUGCCAUCAGUUCUUGACACCCUGUAACGUGGGCCGUCUGUGGGGGAACUGUUGCUGUGAGGCCUUCAGAUGGUCACCGGGACUUACAGGAAAAGGUUUGCCAAGUCUGUGGCACCAGACAACGUGAUGCCUGUCAAAACAUGGUUUUCUUUUAUGGUUGGUUUGGAGGCAAAAUAUAUUAGCAGCUAACAUGGUUAGCUCGGACGAGAAGCAAUUGGGGAAACUAGUUAAGACACAAUAGUCGGUUUUAUCAACUUUAGUUUUAAACAUUGUUGCAGGAUCUCCAAUAAUGCCAUAUCACAAAUGAAACUUUUAAUUGAGCUCCAACAAAUAAUUUUAUUUUAUUGUGAACUGAACCCAUAAGAGGGAUAAUUAUAGUGAUAUUUUUAAUAAGCCUCUUUGUCCCUCCACUCUUUGAUCUCUUAGCGUUAGUGAGUGGAGGUGAAGGGAGGAAUUAAGUGUACUGAUAAUUAAAGGCAAUUGAUAGGACUAGAGCAACUCCCCUAGUUCUAAGGCGAGGGGGGCGGGAGGGCAGUUAAGACUUUUGCCUUGUUCCCACGCGUCUGUGUUCACUUAGAACACUGUCUUCCUUAAUCUGAGUCUAGUUUGUCGACUUUGCAAAACAGAGCAAAGAGCGUCUCUACUGUACACAUUGGUUGGUUAAGUGGCCAUUACGGAAAUUAAGUUUUAAACUUUAGUAUUUGCAACGUUCAUGUAUUAGUACAGCCUUGGACAAAUCCGUUCCCACGUCAUCGUGGAAUUGAGCCAUAGUGGUGGCAGCUCAAAGGUUUAUCAUAUUUUAAUCUUGCAUUUUAAAUUGCUAAUUAUUUGCAUCUAACCAGUCUUUUUAAGCGUACUAUAGCCUAGUGAAGGCUUCCUGCCUCAUGAUACAACGUGAUGCACAGUCAGUUUCACAUUAAGAACUAGUUGAUGCUUGCUCUAAGAUGUUGAUUAGACAUCAGUGGCCCCUUUAUGGCCUCUUAAGGUUCCUUGUGAGCAGACAAUGUCAUUCUUGCGCUGAUUAUCAUGUUAAUGUCAUGGUUUAGAAGACAUUAUACCUUUGUAAUUGAUGCCCAUUGCUGGCUGGGAUAGUGUAGACGAGGUAAAUUAGAAUGUAAACAGACUUUCUAUAGCAUUGACAACUGGCAUGUAGCCUGCAGGUCUGUAAGUUUUUAACAUGGACAGAAUUUAGGUUUAAACAAAAUUGAAAUUGUUAAAGGUAUGACUGAGAAGACUAAUAUCUAGUUUACUGAUCGAUGUUGGUAAAUAUUAUACUAGUCAAAUAUAUCGGCUCGACUUGUGGGAAUGAAUAUUAGGUUAAUUCUCUAGAUGAAGUAAUGUGAAAUUUUUAAGAAUUUGAAGGUUGUGCGGCUAUUUAAACUAUUUGGUGUUUUUUUUUUUUUACUUGGUAGAAUAAACAGCAUUAGAUGCUGGUUCUUAACUUUUAAACAGUUUGUUACAUAUGAGCGCCUUGAAGUGCUCUGCCAAUCACCUUCUACACAAAUGUAUUAGGGAAGUGCCAGAACAUUAUCUAGACUUUCCCACACUUGGAAAUAAAGUGACUAAAAGAA
rnacentral:lncRNA from 1 species